UUUCAGAAGGAGCCAAAGAAGAGAGGAUCUCUGUAAUAGACAAUGGAAAAGAAGAGAGGAUCUCUGUCGGAGACAAUGGAUCGUGGAAUUCCAUACAAGCGACAAAUUAAUGUUGAAAAACGUCUAUAGUUUACCAAAUAAAAGAGAAUGGAGUAAUAAAGCAAUCUUUCCUUCAGACAUAAGCAGAAAGAGAAACCUAGGUUAUCAAAUUGAAAAAAUGAUAAUGAACGAUAUAAAUAAAAGGGGGAAAACCUUAUGGUAUGGUAUAUGAAGAUAACUUUACCUGGAAAUUUAGAAUUUCAAUCCAUUUUCUCUGAAUUCCUGAGCUUAACAAAUUCACUGCACAGCCAUCACAAAACGGUUUUCACUACUCGAAAAUGAUGAAUCAAAUUAUGAGAGAGAAAUUAAUACUAUUGCAGGUUAUUCUAAGAAGGAAAGAGACCGAGGAAUUGAUGAUGAAAAGUGAGAACACACGCAAACACGUAGAAAGAAUAAUUAGCUCUUUGACUUUGGUGUAAAAGAGUAGCGGUGCUGCUAGGACAAGGGGAAUUACCUAGAGAACUAGAGGUUAUAGAAGCUGCAUAUGUGUAUCUAGACACGGUGUUGGGCUCAAGGAUCACUAUGAAGGAGGGUACUGCAAUUCACCAGAUUUUGAUCCAAUGGAAUAAUACAUCUAUUGAUGUUGUAACUUGGGAGUACAAUGACUUUCUGUGUGGUCAGUUUCCUGAAUUUGGACUUGAAGACAUGUCUGUUCUUGAUAGAAACGUGGAUGGUAGAGUGUGUCGUGACUUGUUACUAUAAAUAGGGAAGAAAAAGAGAGAAUAAUUAUAUGGGUUUGUUACUAUAAUUAAUGAGUUUGUUACUAUAAAAUAGAGAAGGAAGUGAGAGAAUAAUUUGAUCUUUUUGUGACUAUAAAAUAAGAAAGAAAGCGAAGGAAUAAGGUAUUUAGGCAUUCUAUUUGGAUUAAAGAUCACCAUCUUUGUGAGGCAAACACUACGUGCUUAGGGGCUGAUAACUAUCCACUAUCAGUUUGUUAUUUUCAUUGUCGCUAUUUCUUUGUAAUUUUUCAUCCAUAAUAAUACAAUUACAAAAUUCUUUUA